GAGGAGGAGAAGGAGGUUUGGGUCCCCAGUUCCAUGGAGGCUGGGCAUGGGGCCCUGGAAGGCUGCAGGUCUGCCUGUGCUUUGUCCUGUGCUCCCCAGCCCUCCUUUACCUCCAACCCGCCUCCCUGACCAGUGCCCAAGGGUGCUGCAUGUGCUUGAUCAUGGUUGUGUGAGGGAAGAAGAAAAAAGUCGGCCUGAGUAAUGGAUACAUUUGGAAAACAUGAGCACUGUACCAGCUGCGGACGUCUUCCCUCCAGGAAGGGCUAAGUUGAUGAAAAGAAAACCAAAGUCAGGACAACUAUAACAUUCAGAAGAAAAAUACUUGUGGAUGAAGAUACCAUCUCUGAGAACAUUCCACUUACUACAGGCUUGCUUUCUGGGGAAGCACAUCUAGUCUCCGAACACUCAGAGGAAAAGAUACUUGUGCCUGAAAACACUGUUUCUGAAAACAUGGCUGUUACUACACAAUUACUUUCUGGGGAAAUGCAUCGAGUGUCCAAGCACUCAGAGGAAAAGAUCCUUGUUGCAGGAGACACUGUCUCUGAGAACUUAACAGUUACUACAAAAUUACUUUCAGGGGAAUCACAUCUAAUCUUAAAACAUUCACUAGACAAGACAUUUGGGGUUGAAGACACUGUCUCUGAGAACAUUCCACUUACUAUAGGCUUGCUUUCUGGGGAAGUACAUCUAGUCUCUGAACACUGAGGAAAAAAUACUUGUGACAGGAGACACUGUCUCUGAGAACUUAACAGUUACUACAAAAUUACUUUCAGGGGAAAUACAUCUAUCUAAUCGUAAAACAUACACUAGACAAGACUUUUGGGGCUGGAGACACUGUCUCUGAGAACAUGCCGGUAACUAUAAAAUUGCUUUCUGCUGACACACAUCUAGUAUUAAAACAUUUUGUAGACAACACAUCCGGGGGCUGGAGACACUGUCUCUGAAAACAAAUCGGCGACCACAGGCUUACUCCCAAUGGAGUAUAGUCCUUCAAGACAAGACGCAAUCUUUAAUGAAAUCGAAGACUUUCAAACAUUCCUGAUGAAAAGACCCGAGCUGAAUAGAAAAUCACACACAAGACUCAAGAGGACCCAAAAAAGGUAAACAUGAAAUAGAAAUCAUGAUGGACUCAAGAAGGUUAACUUGUGUAGCCUUCUAUAAGGGAAAAUAAUUUAUGCAUUUUUCAGAAUUUCAUUAUUAUUAGGAAGUUAGAAUGGCUCUACAGAGCAGAAGGGUCUGGGAGGGAGUUGAUUAGGUUGAGAUGAUCAAAAUGGAUAGGUGAGAAAGAGGGAUGCAGUGGGAGAAGGGGAAAGAGAGUGAAAGAUUGGGGGUGGGGGGGAGAAUUGUCUUAAGUAAAAGAGAUGCCCCAGGAAGAACUUUUACAAUGGAAGGAAAAAUGGAGGGUGGGUUGGGCAACAUUUGAACCUCAGUCACAUGUAAAGUGUUUCAGAAAGGAAAAAUACAUAUACAUACUCAAUUGGCAAUACAAGUCUCUCUUACCAGCUAGGGAAGUAGGGGAGAGUAAAGGGGUAAGAGAAAGGGGAGUCAGAACUCGGGGGGCAGAUAAAAAUGGCAGAGUUCAGAAGCAAAACAUUGAUGGAGGGAAAGGAUAAAAAGCCAGAGAGAGAAAAGAAGUGAGAGAGAGAGUGUCUCCAAGAAAAGCAGAAGAGAGAAGCAGAGAGACCACCACCACCACCACCACCGUUGGAUCAGGACUUGGCUUGAGACCUCCAGUGCUGAGAGAGACUUGCCCAGCUCCACCCACCAGCAUGUCCAGCCCCAAGGGUCUCUCUUCCAUCCAGCUGUGCUCAGUUACUGCAUGCCUAUUGCUGACCUCCACAGGCGCCCACCUUCACCUCUCUGUAUCCAUCUCUGGCCCCACUUAUCUGUUCUUCCUGUCAGUUAUAUCCAGGCCCCCAAGUGACUGGUCCUGGCACUCAUGGGUUUCUGGAUUUCUCCAGAUCUUUUUUUCUCUGUCCCUCAUGUGUCCUUAAACCAUAUGCCAGCCCCCUCCCUUCAUGGCCACAGGAUCCCCUUCCUGGAUCCAACCCUUACUUCCUUCUUUACCUCAGGGAACCAAUUCACGUUAUGUAAGAAUGUAUUAUGCACUAUAUAAUUUUCCCCACCUUUCUGCUUUAUUUCUAAUUUUCUCUGCCUUGUGUUUUUUGUGCAAAACCUUUUAAACUUGAUGUAAGCAAUUCUUCAGUUUGCAUCUCAUUCUUCUCUAUCUCUUGUUUGGUCACAAAUUCUUCCCUUUUCCAAAAAUCUGCGUCAUCAGUUUGUUUUUGCUUUUUUAGUAUCUGGCCUCCUAUGAAAAAAAACCUGAUUAGACACAUACAAGAUAAACAAAGUAAUAGUUUAUUUGUCUGAAAAACAAUCAGCAUGAAUCAUGUGGAGACUUCUUCCGAAGAAGGAGUUUGAAGAUGCCUUUUUUGGGGCAGGUAUAUAUAAACGAGGUGGUAUCAGUUUCAUCAGUAUGAAACGAUUCAACUUAAAAGCAAAACUAUAAGAAGAAUGUAUAAAAUAGAAAUCAGUUUAACAAUUUGAUAGUUUGACUUAAAGAAAAUCCUAUGAUAGGGCAGCUAGGUGGUGCAGUGGGUAAAGCACCAGUUCUGGAUUCAGGAGGACCUGAGUUCAAAUCCAGCCUCAGACACUUGAUACUUACUAACUGUGUCACUUAACCCUCACUACCCCACAAAAAAAAGAAAACCCUAUGAUAAGAUUAUAUGAUUCCAAAAAGUGUUUGGUAAGAACAAGGAUGCCCAGAUGUUUUUACAAGAUAGGGACUUACUAUCCUGGGGAAAGAAGCCAGUAGAUGGGAACUUAUCUGCUAGCUAGCUAGGUUCAAGUUGGAGUUCAGAUGGAGGGCAUUUUGAUCUUAUUAAUCCAGAGUUUCAUAACAUCCUUUUGGAUAAAAAGGUGGUCCAUAUAGUCACCAUAACAUGUGACAGGUAAAUCAUUCCAUGCUUCCCUAAUUCAUCACCCUUUAUGAUUAAAUCAGGUACCGAUUUAGAACUAAUUUCACUAUACAGUCAGAUGUGUAUCUGUGCCUAAUUUCUCCCAAGCGGUUUUCCAGUUUUACCAACAAUUGGCAGAUACUGAUUUCUUGUCCCCAUAUCUUGACUGUUUUGGUUGGUCAAAGACAAGAUCAGAGUGAUCAUUUAGUGCUAUCUAUUGUGUUCCUCAUCUAUUCCACUCAUCCUCCACACUCUUUCUUCACCAGUACCAACGUUUUUGGUGAGAGAUCUGGUAGUGGUAAGUCACCUUCCUUCACUUUUUUUCUCAUUGAUUCCCUUGCUAUUCUUCACCUUUUGUUCUUCCAGAUGAAUGUUUUUAGUUUUUUUUCUGAGCGCUUUAAAGCUUCUUUUUAAAUUUAAUUGGUCUGGCACUGAAUAAUAAUUUAAUAAUAUUUAAUUAAUAAAUCAAUUUGUGUAGAAUUGUCAUUGUAUUAUGCUGGCCUGGCUUCCCCAGGAGCAGUUAAUAUUUUUCUACUUGUUUAUAUUUAACUUUAUUUCUAUGAAAAAUGUUUUGUAGUUGUGUUCAUAUAAUUCCUAAGUUUUGUCUUAGCAGGUAGCCUCCCAAGUAUUUUCUAUUGUCUGU